CUACUGCUGAAGAGUCCCAAACUAGGACGAAACCGCUGUUCAAUAC
rfam:Trichobilharzia regenti genome assembly, scaffold: TRE_scaffold0001330